rnacentral:lncRNA from 10 species
CCAGGGCUGCUGUCAUGAUUGCCAUAAACUGAGUGGCCUGAAACAACAGAGUCAGAAAUCAAGGCAUCUGCAGGGCCAUGCUGUCUCCGAAGGCUCGGAAUAUGGACCCCUCCUUGCCUCCUCCUAGACUCUGUUUCCCUCCUGAAAUUCCAAGGAUGCUAGGAUUCAAUGCAUUUAAGGAGCAGACAACAAAGACGAUCACAAAGGAUCAAACUCACAUUCAUGGAAACAUCUGCGGAACUGUAACAUCAAGG